CCAGACUCCUACGGGAGGCAGCAGUGGGGGAUAUUGCACAAUGGGGGGAACCCUGAUGCGGCGACGCCGCGUGGGUGAAGGAGUGCUUCGGCAUGUAAAGCCCUAUCGGCAGGGAAGAAGCAAGACGGUACCUGACUAACAAGCCCCGGCUAACUACGUGCCAGCAGCCGCGGUAAAACGUAGGGGGCGAGCGUUGUCCGGAAUGACUGGGCGUAAAGGGUGCGUAGGCGGCAUAAUAAGUUAGAAGUGAAAUACCCAGGGCUUAACUCGGGUGCUGCUUCUAAGACUGUUGAGCUUGAGUGCGGGAGAGGUUAAUGGAAUUCCUAGUGUAGCGGUGGAAUGCGUAGAUAUUAGGAGGAACACCAGAGGCGAAGGCGAUUAACUGGACCGUAACUGACGCUGAGGCACGAAAGUGUGGGUAGCAAACAGGAUUAGAUACCCGCGUA
rnacentral:rRNA from 1 species